rnacentral:lncRNA from 1 species
AGCAGAUGCUUUUCUUUGAAAAGGUUUCAAUCUUUGUUCUCCAGCAGCCAACCCACUUGCAAAGAGUAUUUCCAAGGCUUGUUAUGCACAUGCAAGAUCCCGGCAACACUACAGAACUCACUGAAGAUGUGAAUGGUAUGGAAUCACUUCCCCAGCAGACUGAUCCUGCCUCCAUAAACUUGCCAUUAAAGGAAAUCCUUUCAGGAAUUUCAUCUGUUCUGGGAGACACAACCAUUGAUGGAAAGAACAUAAAGGAUUUCUACUGUACGAUCCACACAUAAAAAGAUCUAUAGAGUUAUCUACACUGCUAGGGUAUGUGCCCUUUCUACUUAUUUCAGCUAAUCAUCUCCAAGCAAGAAUGCAAAAAUCCCAGGAUCAGGAAAGCACACAGGCUGACUCCAAACACUGCUGGUUCCAGCACACAGCUACAGAGAAGGCAACUUGUGCCCUGCAACUCGUGCUUCUUGAACAACCUACAUCUUCUAUGCAGCCACUGAUUAUAGAAUAAAUAUAUCAAAGGGAACA